rnacentral:tRNA from 1 species
GGCUCAGUGGUCUGGGGAUAUGAUUCGCAAUUCGGGUGCACGAGGUCCCGGGUUCAAAUCCCGGCUGAGCCC